UACGUAGGGUGCAAGCGUUAAUCGGAAUUACUGGGCGUAAAGCGUGCGCAGGCGGCUUUGCAAGACAGAUGUGAAAUCCCCGGGCUUAACCUGGGAAUGGCGUUUGAAACUACGGAGCUGGAGUGUGGCAGAGGGAGGUAGAAUUCCACGUGUAGCGGUGAAAUGCGUAGAUAUGUGGAGGAAUACCGAUGGCGAAGGCAGCCUCCUGGGCCAACACUGACGCUCAUGCACGAAAGCGUGGGGAGCAAACAGG
rnacentral:rRNA from 1 species